GCGGGAAUAGCUCAGUUGGUAGAGCACGACCUUGCCAAGGUCGGGGUCGCGAGUUCGAGCCUCGUUUCCCGCU
rfam:Haemophilus paracuniculus strain CCTG 43573 43573T_ctg_0000010, whole genome shotgun sequence.